CUUCCCUGCAGCUGCCAGGCACUACGUUGCCCAACAGGAGUGGAAAAGGUCACCAGUUCAAAACUGAUCUGAGUCAAUGGAAAUCAGGUCUGCUCAACAGUCUACGUGAAAUGAGAAAAUUAUGAUGGAGACAGGAAUAAAGAAGCCACAUAUGAAGACUCCAAUCACAUAAGACUUAUAGACAACAGAGAAUGUUGCCUUGAUCCAGUCUAUUUCACAUGUUCCAUAUUUGUGAUCUGGAAAAAUUGAACAUAAGGAAAACAGGGGCAUGUCAUUGACUCAUCUCAUUCAUUAAGUUUUAUCAUUGACUUGGAGUCCCAUCAGUUUUG